UACGGGGGGGGCAAGCGUUGUUCGGAAUUACUGGGCGUAAAGGGCUCGUAGGCGGCCAACUAAGUCAGACGUGAAAUCCCCAGGCUUAACCUGGGAACUGCGUCUGAUACUGGAUGGCUUGAGAUUGGGAGAGGGAUGCGGAAUUCCAGGUGUAGCGGUGAAAUGCGUAGAUAUCUGGAGGAACACCGGUGGCGAAGGCGGCAUCCUGGACCGAAACUGACACUGAGGCACGAAAGCGUGGGGAUCAAACAGG
rnacentral:rRNA from 1 species